rnacentral:rRNA from 1 species
GACGAACGCUGGCGGCGUGCUUAACACAUGCAAGUCGAACGGAAAGGCCCUGCUUUUGUGGGGUGCUCGAGUGGCGAAAGGGUGAGUAACACGUGAGUAACCUGCCCUUGACUUUGGGAUAACUUCAGGAAACUGGGGCUAAUACCGGAUAGGAGCUCCUGCUGCAUGGUGGGGGUUGGAAAGUUUCGGCGGUUGGGGAUGGACUCGCGGCUUAUCAGCUUGUUGGUGGAGUAGUGGCUUACCAAGGCUUUGACGGGUAGCCGGCCUGAGAGGGUGACCGGCCACAUUGGGACUGAGAUACGGCCCAGACUCCUACGGGAGGCAGCAGUGGGGAAUAUUGCACAAUGGGCGGAAGCCUGAUGCAGCAACGCCGCGUGCGGGAUGACGGCCUUCGGGUUGUAAACCGCUUUCGCCUGUGACGAAGCGUGAGUGACGGUAAUGGGUAAAGAAGCACCGGCUAACUACGUG